GGAAGGUGCUAGCACAUUCUGCCACAUGGCCAGAGCACUAUACUUUAAGUGACUCCAUCAUGGCUGCUCAUCUCACCCUUAAUCAGGAUUCGUUCAUUCAAGAGGGGAGAACUCCUAAGGCUACCUAAAUGUAAUGCCCCUUCAUCUGAUUAGCUAAAGUGACUCAGAGACCUUCCGAGAAAGCUUCAUGGAGCACCUGAGUAGACAUUUUACUGGCUGAAUAUCCUGGCUAGCUAGCCCAACUCAACUCAUUUUAGAAGACUGCAGUGGAGCUGAGAUAAAAUAAUCCACAUAAUCCAGGACCAAUGACCCUAUAAUGGCUAUGAGUCUGAACCUAUGAUUAGUUAAUUCAUUCAUUUGUUCACUUGCCACCAACUAUUCCGCUUGGUUUUGACUCCA